rnacentral:rRNA from 1 species
UAGUCAUAUGCUUGUCUCAAAGAUUAAGCCAUGCAUGUCUAAGUAUAAACUACUCUAUACAGUGAAACUGCGAAUGGCUCAUUAAAUCAGUUAUAGUUUAUUUGAUGAUACCUUACUACUUGGAUAACCGUGGUAAUUCUAGAGCUAAUACAUGCAUUAAAACCCGACUUCUGGAAGGGUUGUAUUUAUUAGAUAAAAAACCAACCUGGGCAACCAGUUCUUUGGUGAUUCAUAGUAACUUCUCGAAUCGCACGGCCUUGUGCUGGCGAUGCUUCAUU